CCAGACUCCUACGGGAGGCAGCAGUGGGGGAUAUUGCACAAUGGGGGGAACCCUGAUGCAGCGACGCCGCGUGGGUGAAGAAGCGCCUCGGCGCGUAAAGCCCUGUCAGCAGGGAAGAAAAUGACGGUACCUGAGUAAGAAGCCCCGGCUAACUACGUGCCAGCAGCCGCGGUAAUACGUAGGGGGCAAGCGUUAUCCGGAUUUACUGGGUGUAAAGGGAGCGUAGACGGCAGCGCAAGUCUGAAGUGAAAUUCCAUGGCUUAACCAUGGAACUGCUUUGGAAACUGUGCAGCUGGAGUGCAGGAGAGGUAAGCGGAAUUCCUAGUGUAGCGGUGAAAUGCGUAGAUAUUAGGAGGAACACCAGUGGCGAAGGCGGCUUACUGGACUGUAACUGACGUUGAGGCUCGAAAGCGUGGGGAGCAAACAGGAUUAGAUACCCCUGUA
rnacentral:rRNA from 1 species